rnacentral:tRNA from 4 species
GGUGCCAUCGUCUAAUGGUUAGGACACAAGGUUUUCAUCCUUGCAAUCGGGGUUCAAUUCCCCGUGGCACUA